rnacentral:rRNA from 1 species
AUGAAGUACAAAGGUCAGCUGGCAAUGGUUUGUGAUGUUGAUUGGCACAAUUGGUUGUAUCUUGUUGCUUAUGGAAUUACCGACUUAGAAACAACAGAAAGUUGGGUUUGGUUCAUGGAGAAGCUUCAUAAAACUACUGGUUGUCCGCCUAGACUUGCAAUUUGUUCGGGUGCAAGAAAAGGGAUUGAUACUGCAAUUGAAGAGGUGCAUAGGUAUGUUGAAAAAAGGGAAUGCAUGCGGCACUUGGUUUUCAACUUUAAGAAAAAGUUUCAUGGUAAAGUAUUUGAUGACCAUAUGUGGCAAACAUCUUAUUCAUGGACUCCAGAAGCUUUCAAAGCCCACAUGGCAAUACAUGAGAAAAAACCUAAAGCAGUAGAGUACUUGACAAUAUACCAUAGUAGGCUUUGGUCUAGAUGCAAAUUUUCCACUUCCUCAAAGGUGGAUUAUGUGGCAAACAAUUUGGCCGAGUGCUUCAACAAUUGGAUCAAGAAGCACAAGGGCAUGACGUUGUUUCAGUUGGUGGAGAAAAUCAGAAGGAUGAUAGUGGUCAAGACGGAGAAUAGGAGGAGGAUUGCUAAAAAAUUGGAAGGCCACUAUAUACUACCUAGUGUCAUGAAGGAGUUGAAUGCAAAGAGUAAAGGGCUGGACAUAGAGUAUGGGACGAUUGAUCACAUGAAAGUAGAGGUGAGUGAGGGUGGUGAAUAUGGCAAGCGACAUGUUGUGGGUCUAGAUAUGAGGACAUGCACAUGUAGUGAAUUCCAAGUAUCAAGGAAGCCUUACAAGUAUGCCAUUUUCUUCAUCACCAAAAUUGGGGUCGCUAUAGAAGACUUUGUUGAUGAUUACUAUAGUGUUGCCAAGGUCACAUCAGCAUAUACUCCCGUAAUGUCGGGGCUUACUGAUGCGUCUCAAUGGCCAAAGAGAACCCAUGAAUUCUUUUUGUAG